rnacentral:misc_RNA from 1 species
GAUGAAGAACGCAGCGAAAUGCGAUACUUGGUGUGAAUUGCAGAAUCCCGUGAACCAUCGAGUCUUUGAACGCAAGUUGCGCCCGAAGCCAUCAGGUUGAGGGCACAUCUGCCUGGGCGUCACAUAUCGUUGCCCAAUGCCUAUUGCAGUGCAAUAGGAAUUUCUAGGGCGAAUGAUGGCUUCCCGUGAGCGUUGUUGCCUCGCGGUUGGUUGAAAAUCGAGUCCUUGGUAGGGUGUGCCAUGGUAGAUGGUGGUCGAGUUAGAACGAUACCGAUCAUGUGCAUGCUCCCCAAAAUAUGGCCUCUAUGACCCACACGCGUCUUUUGACGCUCAUGACGAGACCUCAGGUCAGGCGGGGCUACCCGCUGAAUUUAAGCAUAUCAAUAAGCGGAGGA